UACGGGGGGGGCAAGCGUUGUUCGGAAUUACUGGACGUAAAGGGUCUGUAGGUGGCUUGCUAAGUCAGACGUGAAAUCCCUCAGCUUAACUGGGGAACUGCGUCUGAGACUGGCGAGCUUGAGGGCAGGAGAGGAACGCGGAAUUCCAGGUGUAGCGGUGAAAUGCGUAGAUAUCUGGAGGAACACCGGUGGCGAAGGCGGCGUUCUGGACUGCAUCUGACACUGAAAGACGAAAGCCAGGGGAGCAAACGGG
rnacentral:rRNA from 1 species